AAACUUGAGCUAAUACCGGAUACGUCCGAGAGGAGAAAGAUUUAUUGCCGAAGGAUCGGCCCGCGUCUGAUUAGCUAGUUGGUGAGGUAACGGCUCACCAAGGCGACGAUCAGUANCUGGUCUGAGAGGAUGAUCAGCCACAUUGGGACUGAGACACGGCCCAAACUCCUACGGGAGGCAGCAGUGGGGAAUAUUGGACAAUGGGCGCAAGCCUGAUCCAGCCAUGCCGCGUGAGUGAUGAAGGCCUUAGGGUUGUAAAGCUCUUUUACCUGGGAAGAUAAUGACGGUACCAGGAGAAUAAGCCCCGGCUAANUUC
rnacentral:rRNA from 1 species